CAAUCUGACAACUGUCCUCCCAUUGGCUGAUUUCUCUCCCGCCUGAAGUUUUCUAAUCAGCUCCGACAUUGAGAGACGCUGUUGGGGGGUCCAGUGGCAGCAGGACUUGAUGAUGGAGUACCUACAGACCAGAUGAGUUGGAGCAGGUGGCCGGCCGUUUGAGAUGCUUUCCUCUUUGUAGAUACUGCAGAAGUUCAGUCACCAUGAGCUGUGCAAACGAGGACUUGGACACUCACACAUCACUGCUCUGACUGACGGCUCCUCUGCCCAGCACUUCAGGUGCCUGCCAUUUCUUCAUCUCCAUGUCCUCUACUUCACCCAGUGAAUUGGCCUGUGUUCUCCUGUGGUAGGCUGGGCCCAGUCCCCACAGCUUCGCUGUCAGAUCUCCACCAACCAGAACGCUACGAGCUCCCACGUUGCCAUGGAUGCAACGCUGACUGUGCAGGAACCCCAACAGGUCUCUGUGCUGCAGCUCCUCCACAACCAUCAUUAGGGGCGACUGCACUGAAACCACACCCAGCAGAGCAGGUAGGAAGGGGUGCGGUCCCAGUCCUGACACGAAGGAAGCAAAACCCAAAAAGUGCUGCUUCUCACUGCUGUUUGCUGAUUCUGAGAAAGAGGUUGGCCACACCCACUCUUUGUCACUCGUAUCACCUGCAAACACCUUGCAGUCAGUAUUGUAUUUGCUACGUGCAUGUAUUUGUGUGUCACCGUUCAUGUGUUUUUGUGUGUGUCAAGUUUCCCGACAGCUGGCUGCAUUCAUCAACUUGACAGACUUAGGCUUACGAGGUGGAGCAUCAUGUCGUAUUUAAUCUGUCACCCAUGAUGCGUUUAAUGUUGUAUCUUGUAAUGGCUGAGGUGCAAUACCAACACCAAAGAACUUCUGUCCAAACAAAUAGACUGUAAUGCAUAGUAUUGAGUUGGCUGAAACGGUUCAGGAAUUGAAACGGCUGUGUUCUUGUGUUUGCUGUGUCCCACUGCAACUUAGAAAAGAGAAAUUCCCUGAAGUAACAAAGGGGACAAUUGUCAUGAUAUUACAAGACUCGUCUGCUUGCUCGUAUUGUGUUAUUUAAGUGUGAAUAAACUCAGACAUUUCAUGCAUUGUCCAAAAUGUGA